rnacentral:tmRNA from 1 species
GGGGGCGACCAGGCUUCGACGGGGGUGGGAAGUCAAAGCGGCAUGCCGGGGUCCUGUUGGCCCGUAAAACAAACAGGCUGCAUUUAACUGCAGACGAUUUUGAAUACUCCCUAGCUGCCUAACCGCAGUUAGCGUCUUACCGACUCUCUCCCGCGGGGCCGGAUAAGACGUCAUUUAGCGGGAUGGACCGAUUCUCCUGCCGGAGGGGAUGAGGUCGAGAUUUAAACCGGAUGGCCUGUUGAGACCCUGCCGCUGGGGGCUUACUGGGUGAGAUUAAAACAUCGGCUAAGCAUGUAGUCGCAUUUGGCGGAAGACCUUCGGACGGGGGUUCGAUUCCCCCCGCCUCCACCA